rnacentral:tRNA from 1 species
GCCCCCGUAGCAUGAAGGUCGUGCAGUUGCCUUGUAAGCAUCAGGUCCUGGUUCGAUUCCGGGCGGGGGCACCA